rnacentral:rRNA from 1 species
GACAGAGGUGCCAAGCGUUAGGCGGAAUCACUGGGCUUAAAGCGUGUGUAGGCGGAAUUGUAAGUACCUUGUGAAAUCCCAUGGCUCAACCAUGGAACUGCUCGGUAUACUGCUUUUCUUGAGCCACUUAGGGGCUACCGGAACAAAUGGUGGAGCGGUGAAAUGCGCAGAUAUCAGGAGGAACACCGGUGGCGAAGGCGGGUCUCUGGGCCGAUACUGACGCUGAGGAGCGAAAGCGUGGGGAGCGAACAGG